UACGAGUGCCUCAAGCGUUAUCCGGAAUCAUUGGGCGUAAAGGAUGUGUAGGUGGUUGUGUUAGUCUUCUGUUAAAUUCUUCGGCUUAACCGGGGGCAUGCAGGGGAAACGGCACAGCUAGAGGAUGCGAGGGGUCUGCGGAACUCAUAGUGUAGCGGUGAAAUGCGUUGAUAUUAUGGGGAACACCAAAAGCGAAGGCAGCAGACUGGAGCACUCCUGACACUGAAACAUGAAAGCGUGGGUCGCGAAUGGG
rnacentral:rRNA from 1 species